CCUGCUACCACUUAGGAGCUAACAGGCAGUAAACCAGGCACGGGAUUGGGGGGCAGCUGUCUGUCCAGGAACUCAGCAGUUACGCUUCCUGUUCUCCUGCCAGGCUGGGUCCUCUGGAGGUCUUUCUCUGGACUUUGGGUCCCAAAGAAAUUCUUUCGAGGUUCUGGGUGUCCUGAACAAAGAAUUGGACAAGACAUGCAGAAAAGGCACCAACGGUGAUUUACAGCAACAUCCCUAGAUUAAGUCACCUGGCAUGGAUCAGGCCUCACGGACUCCACACGCCCUCUACAGGAUACUGUCGGCACAGCAGCUCGAGUGGGCCUUCUCUGUCCAUUUCCGUGGCUCAAAUUUUCCAGUGGUUCAGGAUAAAACCCAGGCCCCAGCUGCGACCCUCAAGGCUCUGGUGGUCAUGGCCAGUUCUGCCUCACCGAUCUUUUGGUCCGACAAGCUACUCUGUCUCCCACCACCAUCCAUGUGCCUGAUACAGUCCAGGACCCAGAACUAUUAAUAUAGAUGUAUCUGUGUAAGCAGCUGCUACACAAAAGAUAGGACAUUUUAGGAGUUUUGUUUGGUGAAUAUACUUUAUUAGUGCCUAUUAAUUUUAUAAAAUAUUUGAUAUUUCUGUUCAUGUACCUGUUUUGAUCAUGCUCAUCCCUUCAUUCCCCCCUUUCCCCCUCUCCCCCCUUAUGCCCUUCCUCUUGUCUAAUAAGCUUCCCUUCCAUUUUCAUGUCACAA